UUUAUGGAGAGUUUGAUCCUGGCUCAGGAUGAACGCUGGCGGCGUGCCUAAUACAUGCAAGUCGAGCGAACGGACGAGAAGCUUGCUUCUCUGAUGUUAGCGGCGGACGGGUGAGUAACACGUGGAUAACCUACCUAUAAGACUGGGAUAACUUCGGGAAACCGGAGCUAAUACCGGAUAAUAUUUUGAACCGCAUGGUUCAAAAGUGAAAGACGGUCUUGCUGUCACUUAUAGAUGGAUCCGCGCUGCAUUAGCUAGUUGGUAAGGUAACGGCUUACCAAGGCAACGAUGCAUAGCCGACCUGAGAGGGUGAUCGGCCACACUGGAACUGAGACACGGUCCAGACUCCUACGGGAGGCAGCAGUAGGGAAUCUUCCGCAAUGGGCGAAAGCCUGACGGAGCAACGCCGCGUGAGUGAUGAAGGUCUUCGGAUCGUAAAACUCUGUUAUUAGGGAAGAACAUAUGUGUAAGUAACUGUGCACAUCUUGACGGUACCUAAUCAGAAAGCCACGGCUAACUACGUGCCAGCAGCCGCGGUAAUACGUAGGUGGCAAGCGUUAUCCGGAAUUAUUGGGCGUAAAGCGCGCGUAGGCGGUUUUUUAAGUCUGAUGUGAAAGCCCACGGCUCAACCGUGGAGGGUCAUUGGAAACUGGAAAACUUGAGUGCAGAAGAGGAAAGUGGAAUUCCAUGUGUAGCGGUGAAAUGCGCAGAGAUAUGGAGGAACACCAGUGGCGAAGGCGACUUUCUGGUCUGUAACUGACGCUGAUGUGCGAAAGCGUGGGGAUCAAACAGGAUUAGAUACCCUGGUAGUCCACGCCGUAAACGAUGAGUGCUAAGUGUUAGGGGGUUUCCGCCCCUUAGUGCUGCAGCUAACGCAUUAAGCACUCCGCCUGGGGAGUACGACCGCAAGGUUGAAACUCAAAGGAAUUGACGGGGACCCGCACAAGCGGUGGAGCAU
rnacentral:rRNA from 2 species